rnacentral:lncRNA from 1 species
CUUAAACAUAUAAGUUUGUUUUUUUUCUACUUAAUUUAUAAGUUUCUCAUGCUUAUUAGUUGAAUUAAAAAAAAAAAGAGGAGGGCAUCAACUCCUACUGUUAUAAUAAUUUAAAGUUUACCACCCUUGUAUAAACGAGUUCUCAGCAUUAGGGGAGUCACAAAUAAACAAAUUUGAGUUGCUAAAAAAAAUAUAUUUAUGAAUAAACAAUAAUUUUCAAAAAAAAAAGAUUCCUCCAGUUAUGUUUUGCUGCCUAUAAAAUGUAUAAACUUACUUUUUUUUAAAUACUUGUCAAUGAUUGGUUAAUAUAUAAUUAUAUGUAGUAUAAUAAGUUAUCACUUGUGUCUUUAUACCAAGACUAAUUGUUCCUCAGAUCAAUGCUUACAAAACAGAGUACAACAAAGGAUAAAUAAAAAAGAUCCCAAUAAUUUGUCCAAUUUAUAAUAAAUAAUUAAUAUUAACCCUUUCCUCCAUAAUGACGCCAGCCCAUAACUCCAUAAUGACGCCAUUUGAUGCCUAUGUAGUGCCUCAGUUGAAAGGUAUUGCCUAUGAAAAAAUUGUAUCUAAUAUAAAAAGGAUAUUCAUAAGAAUAUCUGAUUGGAAUUUCACUUAUGAAAUAUUUAUAUUUGUUUUAGCAAUGCAUUAAUACUUUAACCUGAUGAUUUUUUUUUUUAUUGAAAAAAUCCUAUGCAAAUCAAGUAUGUAAAAAAAAUAUUUCCAUGGAGGAAAGGGUUUAAAGAAUAUACAUUUUCAUAGAAAUUAAUCUUGUGACCACUUAAUUUUGUUCAUUUAUCACUUAGGAAAAAAAAUCAAAGUAUUUGCUAUUUAUGACAGUAAGGUUAUGUGACUAUUCAGUUUCUGACAGUUGGGUCAUGUGACUAUUCAGUUUCUGACAGUUGGAGUCAUGUGACCAUACAGUUUCUGACAGUUGGAGUCAUGUGACCAUACAGUUUCUGACAGUUGGGGUCAGGUGUGAUCAUACAGUUCCUGACAGUUGGGGUCAUGUGACCAUACAGUUUCUCACAGUUGGGUCAUGUGACUAUACAGUUUAUGACAGUUGGAGUCAUGUGACCAUACAGUUCCUGACAGUUGGGGUCAUGUGACCAUUGUUCCUCACAGGUUGAGUCAUGUAACCAUACAUUUCCUCACAGUUGGGUCAUGUGACCAUUUGAUAUCCUCAGAUUCCUGAUAUGAAACUUCUUGCUUCAAUAUUACAUGGUGCAUUCAGAGUUCCUUAUAAUAGCACCAUCCCAUUAGGUAAACGUCAAUCCAACAGCAACCCAACAAAACAAAAUAAAGUCUAAAAGGUGUCAAAAUGUCAAAAUGUAGUCUUCAAUGGUACCUCUUAUAGAUUAUCCAUGGUUUUUUCAAAACAAUAGGAUGUUACUCCGCUACAAUAUAUUAACCUCACUGAAGGGUGUGAAACAUCCUCAAGUUUGAUAAACCAUUGACAAUCUGUUUUUCUAAUGUCGUAAAUGUAGGUAUAAGACGUCAUGCAUUUUCUUUCUACUCAACAAAAAAAAAUCAUAUCACUCAAGUAUUCUGAUAAGAAAAAUUAUCAAAAAACAAAAAUUCAAAGCAAAAUUUAUAUAUUAGAAUAGAGAUAAGUAAGUUUACUUUAAACUACAGUGUGUUUAUCUUACAAAAUAACCUCUAAAAUUUGUUUGCCUCCUUUCCAUCUCAAUUAAUCCAGAAACCUGAGGAAUUCGGUCAAAAAGACUGUAUUAUAUGGAAUCAGGCAUACCACCAUUGUAAAAGAAAUAAUUUCAGUCAACUGCAAUUGUCUUCAAAAAUCUGUUUUCUUUUCCUUCAAAUUAUUUCUUAAUAAAGUCAUAAAAAUAUGAAACAUACACAAAAAAACCACAGAGAAAUGUAUAAAAUACUGAACUAUCUUUAAGUACAAAUAACAAUAGCCAUCAACACGACAACAAAACUGAAAAAGACACAAUUUCAAUUAUUGCUGAUAAUUUGUAUUUGUGUAUUCUUGCAUUGAUUCUGUCUUUUGUAACAAACUUGUGAAAGACCACUUAUAUUUUCCAAUCCCUUAUUUUGUUACAAUUGAGCUUAUUAAAUAUAUAGCUGUCAUUUCAUAUUAAACAAGAAUGUGUCCCAAGUACACGGAUGCCCCAUCCGCACUAUCAAUUU